rnacentral:rRNA from 1 species
AUAUUGGACAAUGGGGGCAACCCUGAUCCAGCCAUGCCGCGUGUGUGAAGAAGGUCUUCGGAUUGUAAAGCACUUUACGUUGGGAGGAAGGGCUUUAGGUUAAUACCCUGAAGUAUUGACGUUACCAACAGCAUAAGCACCGGCUAACUCUGUGCCAGCAGCCGCGGUAAUACAUAGGGAGCAAGCGUUAAUCGGAAUUACUGGGCGUAAAUCGCGCGUAGGAGGUUCAGUAAGAUGGGUGUGAAGUACCCGGGCUUAACCGGGGAACUGCUUUCAUAACUGCUGAGCUAGAGUAGGGUAGAGGGUAGUGGAAUUUCCUGUGUAGCGGUGAAAUGCGUAGAAAUAGGAAGGAACACCAGUGGCGAAGGCGACUACCUGGACUGAUACUGACACUGAGGUGCGAAAGCAUGGGGAGCAAACA